AAGAUAGGGUUUCCUUUAGCAGCAUAACUCUGUUCUCAUGUUGGAAGUGGAUUUUGUGCUCGAAUCAAUUGUUAAAAGGACAGCACUGCCUUGAAGAUGUAUCCAGGCAGAAGAGUUGGUGACUCAACGUUAGCUCACCACAGUCAUAAAAAUGACUGAUUCUCAUGAGCACAGACACUGGAUAGCCCACCUAUCCGUGCACAGAUGAUGUUGCAAUGAGUACCAUAGACUCCUGCCUGACUCCCCUCCAAACCCCUGGGGAUAAAAGCCAUGAGUAUCCUGGAAGCUUAGCUCAAGUCCGCAGACAUGCUGCUCUGUGAAAGGACAGGUACUUUUGCAAGCCUAUUGUGUGAGCAGCUGCAUGUCUAUAGAAACUAAUACGGUGAUUCAUUGUUCUGCUGUAAGCUUCAAUAUUUGACAUAAAGUUUGUCAGGACAACCUUUCCCCCUCUGCUUCCGCUUCUAAUAUUUAAUUGUAACACAUUGUGGUUGCAACAAGCUGAAACCAUUGAGAUUAAAAAUGAGUUGUAAAAAAAAAAAAUGGAGAAACACAUUCUUUGUGGUGAAUACUAAUCUUGCAAAGCAUUUUAUUUCCGGGGAGGCUGCCAAGAGCAAGUGUGGAAGAGUCGGUAUUGAAAUGACUCAUGGCAUCUGCAGCCUCGGGAGGUCAGAGGAGUAGACAAGGAGAAUAGUCAAGGGCUUGCCUUGGAGGUGGAAGAACACUCCAGCCAGCAGGCAGAGCAAAGCUAUGUCUGGAAGGGAGGAUUCCCAACCUCCACACACUGGGUCAGGGCACCUUCCCUUUUCUGGAUUAGCUUCCGGCCCCGUGGAACAUUCUCCUCUCUUAAGUCAAUCAACUCUGCAAGACUGGAUUGCUUACUCUUGGUUCACUGAAUUCUGGUGGGCUGUCUUAGAAAUGACCCCUCUGCCGAGCCUGUGGGAUCUUCUCAACCAGGCCUGUGUGGUCACUCACCUUCUGAGGGUACUGGGGACUGUAGGAUGGAGCCUGCCUGGAGGAGCAGGAGGUGGAUGGGCUGCUGCAAGCCCAGCUCAAAUGGAGCAGAACAGAGCACAAGGCCCCAAGAUGCUGAGGAGCUUCAGGGAUGCUGAAGAACUUGGUUCUCCAAGCAAACAGCAGCUCAGCCAUCCUGUGCCCACCAGCAGGUCUGUGGACUGAGCACAUUCCCUAAGAGUACGGAAUAGGGAGAGUCAUUGAACCCUUACCUGGGAUUCCAGCCAUCUGUCCUAGCCAUUUGUUUGCAAUUCUUCCCUAAUUUUAUGUGGCUUGGAGUACAUAGACUGGGGACAGUUGACUAAAGGAAGCUGUAUCUAUGUGACUAUUGGGGACACCACCAUCCAUGCUGGGUGAAGACCGCAGUGUAGCUGUUUUGGGUCACCCAAGCUCCUAUAUACAAUCCCUCACCCAUGCACUGUAGGUAAGGCCAAUAAACUCCCUAGUUGAACUUUGG
rnacentral:lncRNA from 1 species